GAUGGAACGAAGACCUGACCGGGUUUAGAAUCAUUUGAUGUCCUGCAAAACCAUUCUAACUCAAUAAGACUGCACCUAAGUCCUUCAUGCAUAAAGAAUUAAGUGCUGACUUCUUCAGAAAUCAAUGAUAAAAACUCACAAAUACAUCCAUGCAAAUUUAUUUUUGUGACAGUGCUGAUGGAUUGUAAUAACAUGCACUGUACCUAUAUGAAAGCCAGAAGCCCAAAGAAACAUGAGACAGACCAGGUCAAUAUUUGCCCUCAGAUACACGAGCACCUUCAAUAAGCAUCUAUCUGUAUGAUAACAAAACUGUUCUGAAAUAGUUACUGGAUUUUGUGCUCUCGAUGGAUAGGAUAUGCUGUCAGCAGGGUAAAUAUUUCCACUGUGAGCUUCAUUGCCCCUUUCUGUGAAGCUAGAACUACAGCACAGUUAAAACUAACAGAAGAAAAAGUACUGGAAACUAAUAAAGCACAAUCUAAAAAGAAACAAACUUAGGAAUGCAGUGAAUGUUUUUCAUUAAUUCUUUCACAUAUGGUUUUUAUUGCCAUCCAAAAACAUCUAAAUGUCUCUUAUUACAUUAUAAUAUGUGAACAAGGAUUCGUGUACAGAGCUGCUAUCACUGAAAUUCAAACUCAAACUUGGAAUCUCGGUAAAAAAAUUACCUUGUAUCUGAAAAAAACCCACACAUUACUAACGAACCAAAAACCCCCAAACCAACAGGUUCUUUAGCUCCUGCAAAUAAAAUAUGAAUGCUUUAUGACUGGUACUUUAAAAAACAUCUCCUGAAGUAAAAAUCAAGAUAACUCAGGCAAUUAUAAGCACCUGCUGGUAAAGAAUUUAGAAGAACAAUUUCAGUGUCCUUUUAAGAUUCUAGCAAGCAUAUGCUUGUUCCAUCCAUAACUUUAUUGGAUUUUCAGAGAAUUUUAAUACUUCUUAGUAUUUGACUUUAUUGGGGAAAAAAAUUGUCAUGGUUUGCAAUGAGAAACAAAGAACCUAACCCCCAAACCUCUCCAGCAUACAUAUGGUAGCGUGUCUAAUACUUCCCUCAUUGGAUUGGCAUCACAAAAGCAUUCUUGCAUCACAUCUGCUUCAGCAUGUGCCCCGAUGCAUGGAGCUCAGAACUAACCUUAAUGUGCAGCAGGUGCAGCUCAACCCAUGUGAGAGAGAGGAACCAGGGGAGCAGUAUCGUGCUGGAAAAGAAGUGAGUCCCCUGUGGAGAGCAGUAACUGAGAAAAAUAAUAUUGAAGAAAAGCACAAGGGGAACGAUGGGUUAGAGCACACGACCCACACACAACGGCAGAGGAAACAGGGCUUCCACCAUGCGGAAGGGAGAACAUAACAGCUAAGAAGUGACAAACAGUUGCCACCCUUCACUAUUGACAAAAAGAUCAAGCAGCAGUAGACAAAAGCAGAGCAAGAUCUUCCUUCAAGCUGAAGCGUGAAACAGGAGAAAAAAAAAAAA